UCAGUUUACCUGAGAAGCUCAAGUGUUUAGGAGGCUCUCAGAAGCUGCUCUUGAGUUCAUCUACUAGUGAUUUAGGAACUUUCACCACUAAGCCAAGUUUUACUGCCUGUGCAAAUUUCUGGAGGACAGGAAACUGACCUUUGAAGAGUUUGUAAGUAAACCAUUUUUAGUUUACCAAACAUGGGUUUUUUUCCCCUCUGCUGGGGGAAGAGGGAAAUUUUGGAUCUCACAGGGGGCAUAUUUUAAAGGUCUAACAGCCUAUAUUUCACUCUGUUGCAUGUCUCUGCUAGGGUUCUCUCACCAAAGUACAUAUUCCAAACAUGGGUCUUGGCAUCCAGGAAUUCUCCUUUUAUAUACCUAUUUUUUCCCCUUUGCACCAACACAGAUGGCAGCAGAAAUUGUUCUUUGUAGUUUAUCCAUUGACUUAUUUGGGGUUUUACUAGUGCAAGUGCAAUUCUGAAUAAUAAUAAUAAUAAUAAUAAUAAUAAUAAAUAAUAAUAAUAAUAAUAAUAAUAAUAAUAAUUUAUUAUUUAUACCCCGCCCAUCUGGCUGAGUUUCCCCAGCCACUCUGGGCGGCUUCCAAUCAAGUGUUAACAACAAUACAGCAUUAAAUAUUAAAAAUUUCCCUAAUCAAAUCCUCAUGAACUGAAAACCACAAAAAGGGUUUUUGUGUGUGCCAUUGUUAUGUGAAUAGGAAGUAAUCUCCAGCCCAGGGAGCACACAGUAGUAGGUGUGUGUGUGUGUGUGAGAGAGAGAGAGAGAGAGGGGAGGGGAGAGAGAGAGAGAGAGGUAAGGCUUCACCUGUUAGAUUUCGGACUGCCAUGUCCCCAAGCUGCUAACAGGAUAGGAGCCUUGCCUGAGCAAAAUGGGACACUAGAAUAGGCCUGUUACGUUGGCCAAUGUCAAGAGGCUCUGUGCCUUUAACUGCUGUGGGACAGGCACCAAUUCAACAGGUGUAGCCUUUCCCUUCAUUAUGCCAGGAGAAGCUCCAGCUGUUUGCUUUGUACUUGUGAUGAGGCUUGUCAGCUCUAUAAGCCCCUGUAGUCUAGACUGAAGCUUCAGAAAUCCUUUGGACCUCUCCAGUACCUUUUCAGGCAGAAAUCCUACAAAAACACUCCUGCGUUCACCCCCCUUCCCCAUCUGGUAAAAAACAAGAGCUGGCCCCAGCUGGCUGUUUGUGGUUUGGCCUGGGAUGGGUGGAGGCCUGUUGGCUAGGAGAGCUAUUUAUCUAGCACAUUUUGGGACGUUUCCACGAUUCUUCUUCCUCUUUUUUUUAGCAUGCCAAAGCUGUGGCUGUCAAGUGAGGGAAGAAAAGAGACUUUUCUUGGUGUAAACAGCAUGCCACAGCACACUGCCGCAGCCGCGAGCUUAGCACGAGAGGAGGAUAAAACUGGGAGUGGUGGAAUUGGGGUUUCUUUCUCAAAAAUAUUAUUCGG